rnacentral:tRNA from 1 species
UAGAAUAAAGCUCGCUGGAUAGAGUGUUUAGCUGUUAAUUAAAAUUUUGCGGGAUCAAGGCCCGUUAUUCUAG